AGUGAACGCUGGCGGUAGGCCUAACACAUGCAAGUCGAACGGCAGCACAGUAAGAGCUUGCUCUUACGGGUGGCGAGUGGCGGACGGGUGAGGAAUACAUCGGAAUCUACUUUUUCGUGGGGGAUAACGUAGGGAAACUUACGCUAAUACCGCAUACGACCUACGGGUGAAAGCAGGGGAUCUUCGGACCUUGCGCGAUUGAAUGAGCCGAUGUCGGAUUAGCUAGUUGGCGGGGUAAAGGCCCACCAAGGCGACGAUCCGUAGCUGGUCUGAGAGGAUGAGUCGCCCCACUGGAACUGGGACACGGUCCCACCUCCUUACGGGAGGCGCCGUGGGGAAUUUUUGACAAUGGGGGGAAGCCCGGUCCAGCCCUACCGCGUGGGUUAAGGAAGCCUUCGGGUUGUAAAGCCCCUUUUUUGGGAAAGAAAAGCAGCAGGUUAAUACCCCGCUGUUCUGACGGUACCCAAAGAAUAAGCACCGGCUAACUUCGUG
rnacentral:rRNA from 1 species